rnacentral:rRNA from 1 species
CCUACGGGUGGCAGCAGUCGAGAAUUUUUCACAAUGGGCGCAAGCCUGAUGGAGCGACGCCGCGUGGGGGAUGAAGGGCUUCGGCUCGUAAACCCCUGUCAGUUGCGAACAAAGUGCACUCAAUAACACUGGGUGUGCUGAUAGUAGUGACAGAGGAAGGGACGGCUAACUCUGUGCCAGCAGCCGCGGUAAUACAGAGGUCCCGAGCGUUGUUCGGAUUCACUGGGCGUAAAGGGUGCGUAGGCGGCUUUGCAAGUCUGAUGUGAAAUCUCCGGGCCCAACCCGGAAAUGGCAUUAGAAACUGCAGGGCUAGAGGCUUGGAGGGGGAACUGGAAUGCUCGGUGUAGCAGUGAAAUGCGUAGAGAUCGAGCGGAACACCAGUGGCGAAGGCGAGUUCCUGGACAAGACCUGACGCUGAGGCACGAAAGCCGGGGGAGCAA